rnacentral:rRNA from 1 species
CACGUAGGGCGCAAGCGUUGUCCGGAAUUAUUGGGCGUAAAGAGCUCGUAGGCGGUCUGUUGCGUCCGCUGUGAAAACUCGGGGCUUAACCCCGAGCCUGCAGUGGAUACGGGCAGACUAGAGGUAGGUAGGGGAGAAUGGAAUUCCUGGUGUAGCGGUGGAAUGCGCAGAUAUCAGGAGGAACACCAAUAGCGAAGGCAGCUCGCUGGGACGUUACUGACACUGAGGCGCGAAAGCGUGGGGAGCGAACAGG